CAUUCAAGCCCCAUUCAUGCAUUAAAGCUUCUGUCUCCAAGUCUUCCAACAUUUUUGCCCUUGUCUUACCACUCUCUGCCUGAAUUCCCAUCUGGCGCUCCUUAGCAGCUUGGUUAAUUGAUGACUGACCAAAAUCCUCAGACAAGUUCCCCCACUCAGACACAGUUGAUGUGUUGAGGUCACAUUCUAUUUGGUCCUCAAUGUCGACACCAAAAUCAAACAGAGAA
rnacentral:misc_RNA from 1 species